CUGACAGAUACUGACGCUGAGAUGCGAAAGCGUGGGGAGCAAACAGGAUUAGAUACCUGGUAGUCCACGCUGUAAACGAUGUCGAUUUGGAGUUUGUUGCCUAGAGUGAUGGGCUCCGAAGCUAACGCGAUAAAUCGACCGCCUGGGGAGUACGGCCGCAAGGUUAGAACUCAAAUGAAUUGACGGGGGCCCGCACAAGCGGUGGAACAUGUGGUUUAAUUCGAUGCAACGCGAAGAACCUUACCUGGUCUUGACAUCCAUAGAAUUCUGCAGAGAUGUGGGAGUGCCUUCGGGAACUAUGAGACAGGUGCUGCAUGGCUGUCGUCAGCUCGUGUUGUGAAAUGUUGGGUUAAGUCCCGCAACGAGCGCAACCCUUAUUCUUUGUUGCCAGCGAUUUGGUCGGGAACUCAAAGGAGACUGCCGUUGAUAAAGCGGAGGAAGGUGGGGACGACGUCAAGUCAUCAUGGCCCUUACGACCAGGGCUACACACGUGCUACAAUGGCGUAUACAAAGGGAAGCGAAGGUGCGAGCAGGAGCGGAUCUCAUAAAGUACGUCUAAGUUCGGAUUGGAGUCUGCAACUCGACUCCAUGAAGUCGGAAUCGCUAGUAAUCGUAGAUCAGAAUGCUACGGUGAAUACGUUCCCGGGCCUUGUACACACCGCCCGUCACACCAUGGGAGUGGGUUGCACCAGAAGUAGAUAGCUUAACCGCGAGGGGGGCGUUUACCACGGUGUGAUUCAUGACUGGGGUGAAGUCGUAACAAGGUAACCA
rnacentral:rRNA from 1 species